AGGUGUUCUUGUGGCGUUAUUGGCCUAACUUAAGCAUUCCUAUACCUCAUCUGGCUGAGAUGUGAAUCUGUUAGGAAGUAGUGCCCUGGGAGGGGAAUGGCCUGAUGCAGUGCUGCUUUGCCUUCCUCUGGCAGGCAACGGUGAGUAGCUGUAACUUGUAAGCUCCCACGCUCCUCUUUACUACCCACAGCAGUGCAGUACAGCAGUUAGUAGACUGAAAGUGAUUUGGUUGUGUCAGUUUGCCUUUCCUCACUUCUCAAUCCAUUUAAAAAGCAAGCAGACAGAUGUUUUAUUUCCUUUAGCUACUCUCCCUGCUCCAGUUUGACCUGUCCUUCAACAGUCUCAUCCAACAGCUGUCUCUUCCUUGCUGAUAGGAGUAGUGUUUCACCCUGACAUCUUCUAUAUGCUCUCCUACUCAAAGGUAGUUAUUGCAGAGGGGAAAGUUCUCUCUCUGGGCAAAUCACAACAAGUUUUAAAAGAAAGCAAACUGAAGAGCUGAUGAAAUAAUGGCAAAGUGCUGAUCAGCAGUCAUGCUAUUUGCAAAGACAAGGUUCUUCAUGUGUGUUAGAAGCAGCAAAAUCCUGGUCAAAACAAAUCAUCAGAAAUGUGAAAUCCUGAAAGCAGCCAGCACCAAACCGUACCCAGCAAACACAACAUGGAUUUGUUCUAGGCAAAUAGCUGUCCCUAGCUGACAUUUACUGCAUCUCAGUUGUAGAAACCUGUAACCUGACUGCAGACAGUUUGCUCUACUUGAGGAUUUUCAGUGUGCAAGUGCAAGAAGCUGUGAUCCUGUCUUAUCUGCAGCCAGUGCUAAUCUCUACCUAUGUCAAAACCAACCUUUCUUUCCACGUAACACACCUGGAAUGGGCUGAAAAGGUCACUGAAACUUGCAGUUCUGUGUCUAGAAAGAAUGCAGCUCUUUGCAUACGUGGCCCAGAGGAAGGAGGUAAGCUUGGGGGGGUUGGGGUUGGAUUUUUAUUGAUGUACUUGAAGCUAGGGAAUGGUUGAGCAGCCUUCUGCUUUCUGGGAAUGGGCAUCGUUUCAUUAGCAUUUCACUGCAGGCAGUUCAUGUAGUGAAUCUGCUGGCACUCAAAAAGCCAAAGCAAGCUAUUGGGGUGAGUGAGGAGUUGGGAGGUUAUUUUUUGGUCUCUCUUGCUUCCAAAAGGUUUCUUGUUAGAAGUUUUCCUCUAGCCCUGGGGUAUGUUUUCAUAUGUGUGUGUGCUGUCACUUUUGUGCAUCCUUUUCCUAGGUGAUGGUGAAGACUGUGUGAGACAGGACUGAAUAAAGCCAUGUUGGUGGGGAGAAUUAAUCCUCUUGCUUUGAUAAAGCUGUACAAAUCAAUUCCGUCUAGUCUGAGGAUUACUUGGCUGCCUUCAGGUCACUGAACCUGGACAACUGAUUUGGCACAGACAGCACUGGAUGAGCAUCUGACAUCCUGGCUGAGGCAACAGUGCAGAACAAGUAGUCUGACCUGAGUAAUAAAGAACUGAUCCAGCUGUAGGUCUUAUUCAAUAGAGACUUCUCCAGAAAUGGCUGCAGCUGUUUGCAGGAGAAUCUGAAGCAGAUAACCUACCUUCUGUUGCUGCUGAGAAGCAUAUGAAGUAAAGAUUCUGAAACAGCUGAAGCUAACAGAGCCAGGAGAAACUCCUCUGGUGGCUGAAGAAGAAAAUCGUAGAGGAGCUGCUUUGGGUAGAAGCUCAAGGUUGCAUACUCCCAGAGGACAGUGGGAGGGGGACACAGCCCCAGCCUUCUUCAGAGAUUGUUUCACAACAUGGAUUUGGACUGAAUGAAUCCAAGCUAUUUAGGAGUGACUCCAGGCAUGCAAGCACAAGGUAAAACAAAAAGCCAGCAACAAAGUGUGAUCAGCUCUGGAGGGUGAAGCCUCUACUAAACCAGAGAAGAAGCAGUGGCAGCAAGAUUAAGUCCUGUAAGAGCAGACAAAUAUGAAAACUCCUUUCUGAAGAUCUUCUGUCAGAAGAUAAUCCCCAAAGUCUCCUGAAAUCACAGUGGAUAUAAUUGCUGUGUGUCCCCUGGGAUCAUUUCUUUUACUGGUCAAGCCUCCCACAGCUUCACUUGCUGUGUAAAGAAUAUUCCUUUCAAUGCGGAGAUGAAAAGGAAGGUUUUGUACUCACCACAGAAAAUACACUCCUAUAAACGAACCCUUUGGUCCUUGAGGAGUAUUGGAGGAAAAAUAAAAGUCAUGUACUAAUUUGCUUGCUGAACUCCAGCCCCCAGAAGUUUCUCCUGUCAGAACAGGCAGAGCAUGCUGCAUGUCCUCAUGAAGGGUAGCUGUGGGGCUGUGCAUAGAUAGGUUGAUGUUUCAUUAGAAGAACCUCUGCCCUGGCCCCAAGUGCUGCUGAAAGGUGAGAGUGUGGGUUAAGGUGGACCCAUGGCUGUGCUCCUGUGUGCUGCCCUCCUGCACUGAGCUGUGCCAGCAGCAAUCUCCAGCCAGGUCUCCAGCUUGGUGUUGCUGCAUAAUUCUGGAGUAAAAAGCCUCCUUCUCUAAGGAAACAGUCUGGUAGCAAUCUCUUCAAAGGAGCAGCAACUGCAAGUCAAAUAGCCACGACUAAUGUUCAUUUGACAGGUCCUGAAGAGCCAAGACUUCAAAACAAAGCCUGGCAUCUCUACACUGUGGCACAAAACAGGCAAGAGGAACAGAAAUUAGAUAUAGAAGGAACUUGGUUUAUGGAUGCUUAACUUACAGAGUGAGAUCCUCAGUUCCCUGCAGUAGAACAUCUCCCCUGAGCAAGGUUUGACACAUCUUAAAACCAGACCACAGGAUAGAGAAGCAUAGUAAAUCUCUCUUUGUUUAUGAGAAUGUCCUUUCAGUGAGUGACAUCUGAACCUGGGGGAAGUCUAUCUGCAUUUCCUCCAGUGAUUCCAAAUCAAGGGAAACCACUUUCUGGUGGAAGGAGCAAAAACAUCAGAUGCUGAUAUUAAAGUUAUAAAGCUAUGUGCAAACAAUGAAAUUGCUUUUUUUGUUCCUCAUUACUGUAACAAAAAAGAGUCUUCUAUGUCCCACUUGUCUUAGAAGAAGGCAAUUUAUCCAUCUCUCAUGUUUUUUCAUCAAGUCAGACAGUGCUGUGUCUGCAGAGUUAUAAACUAAUUAAAAAUGUUCUCAUUAGUCAGUCAAUUGUUAGGUAAGUGAUAACAUUUGUUAUCUAUUUGGUACCUAAAGGUAAUUUCUGUUAUUAAAAUUGAUCCCAUUGAUUCCACUCUCAUUAAAAACAAAACCACAAAAUGGAAACAGCAGCUCUCAGCAGCAGGGUUAAAGGAUUAAGGUGAUUUGAGCUCUAUAAUAUUGGCUGCUUAAAAAAAAUAAUGGGGUGGGAAGGUAGCCUUUAUCUAAUGCUUCUUCCCUCUGGUGCCUAUAAAUUAAUGUUGAUUUUAUAGUCCAGAUGCUUAUUACCCAUCUGAUUUCUGCUCAGUAUUGCCCACUCUGUCCUUUGUUUUUCUUACCCUUUCUGUCCUCUUUCUCUGCAGCUCCGUGUCAGGCUUUGACAGCACAGAGCUCUCCUCUCUACUCACCUCUAUCAUGAUGAGCUCCCAGCCUCUGCCUGCAGUUCUGAGCUGCUGAGACUCCCUCAGAUAAAAAGGGAGCUGAACCAGCAGAUGCACACCUCAUGGCCUCCCUUGGUCAGUGUGGUGAUAACUGAGGGGUUGAAACAAACAGCCUGAGAUGGCAGGUUCACAGUCAACAAGGUGCUCUGCUCAGCCCUCAGCUGCUGGGAGAUGGUUGGGGUCCCCUUCUGCUGUGUGUGGUAACUUCCCUCUCACGUAUGCUAACACCUCUCCUACAUGAACGAGCUUUGGGAACUGGUGAAAGAGAAAUACCUCAUCUUUCUUUUUUCUGGAUAUGAAAGCUUUCCUUGUCUUGGACCUCUGUUUUCUGCUGCUGCUGUUCGCUUGCUGCCACUCUCUGAUGGGAUAUAUGUUUGCAAGUGAUGUAAUCUGUCACCUGCCCUUAGGUUUUCCUUAUUUGUGCCCUGCAAUAAAUUACUUGACACUGUGAA